AUUGAACGCUGGCGGCAGGCCUAACACAUGCAAGUCGAGCGAGCGGCGGACGGGUGAGGAAUGUAUGGGGACUGCCCGAAAGAGGGGGAUAACUACUGGAAACGGUGGCUAAUACCGCAUACUAUCGGAUCACCCAUAUGGGAUUAGCUAGUAGGUGGGGUAAAGGCUCACCUAGGCGACGAUCUCUAGCUGGUCUGAGAGGAUGAUGAGCCCCACUGGGACUGAGUCACGGCCCAGAGUCCUACGGCGGCAGUAGUGGGGCAUGAUGCACAAUGGGUGCAAGCCUGCUGCCGCGAUGCCGGGUGUAUGAAGCAGGCCUUAAGUUUGUAAAGUACUUUCAGCUGGGCGGCGUUCCCCUUAGAAGAAGACCCGGCUAACUCCGUGCUAGCAGCCGCGGUAAUAC
rnacentral:rRNA from 1 species